ACUGGCACACUGCAGAUUCCUUUCCUCUCAGAGAGUUUUAACUCUAAGACCAAGCUGAUUUCUUUCAAGGAGGUUUAAACCUAAAGCCAUCAUGACCAGAGUGCCCAUCGCUUUGGCACUUAAAUGAGAAUCCUAGUUAUCAGGACAUCUGAUGGCGUUCCAGCUGACACAUCCAACCGUGGAACAGGGGAGCACAAGGGCAGAGAAGGGCAAUGGCAGCCAACAGCUCUGAUUAACAGUCCCCAGGAGCUCCCACAAGAUGCUUCCGCCUAUGUCUGCUGAC